rnacentral:tRNA from 1 species
GGUUCCAUAGUGUAGCGGUUAUCACGUCUGCUUUACACACAGAAGGUCUCCAGUUCGAUCCUGGAUGGAACCA